UAGCCCAGCUUUGCUGAUCACUGAGUUUUGGAUCAUUGGAAUAACUUCAUGAUGAAGAAUGGCCAGUACCUGGAUUUGAAAAUGAUGUGAGAAGCAGGAGCUCUGAACAGCCUGAUUCCACCUCCUCCUGCCACACUGGGAAGCUCAGUAGGUCCCACUCCAGAGAUUUGUAUGACACCACUGCAGCUGCAA